GUUUAUAGUUUUGGGGUUGUUCUUAUAGAGCUGCUGACAGGAAAGAAAGCAGUUUCUUUUGACAGGCCUGAAGAAGAAAGAAAUUUGGCAUUGUAUUUUGUUUCUUUAGUGGACAGAAACAGCUUGGUGGCCAUUUUUGAUCAACGAGUACUGAGUGAAAAUAAUAUUGAGGAAAUGAUGGCUGUGGCCAUGCUAGGGAUGAGAUGUGUGAGAGUGAAGGACGAUGAAAGGCCAACGAUGAAGGAAGUUGCAAUGGAAUUAGAGGCACCGAGGGCAAUGAGAUUGCAGCCCUGUGGGGAAGGUGAUUCGCCUGCAGAAGAUCAGGACGAAUACAUUCUCACGAAACUAUGCAAAUUCUAUUAUGAAGGAAUGGCGGUGAAUAAUACCGUGGAAAGUCAAGUUACUUUUGAAAUUGAAGGUGGGAGAUGAUUCUUUUAUGCGACAUUUUCAUGUUUGUCUUCAUAUUCCAACUAUGCAAUCUAAUCGAACCUUUUAGAAUAAUUAUUACUAAUUUCAUUUUUAAUGUCAUAAUUUUAUUAUUUUGUUAUAAUCAGAUGACAUAACUUUAAAUAAUUUUUGUGUAAAUGGAGAUGAAUUUGUAUGCAAAAUUAUUAAAGGGUUAAUGAAGAAAUUAAAUAUUUUUUGGGAUGA
rnacentral:misc_RNA from 1 species